rnacentral:rRNA from 1 species
UGGGGAAUUUUGGACAAUGGGCGAAGCCUGAUCCAGCCAUGCCGCGUGCAGGAUGAAGGCCUUCGGGUUGUAAACUGCUUUUGUACGGAACNAAAAGCCUCUUUCUAAUAAAGAGAGGUCAUGACGGUACCGUAAGAAUAAGCACCGGCUAACUACGUGCCAGCAGCCGCGGUAAUACGUAGGGUGCAAGCGUUAAUCGGAAUUACUGGGCGUAAAGCGUGCGCAGGCGGUUUUGUAAGACAGAGGUGAAAUCCCCGGGCUCAACCUGGGAACUGCCUUUUGUGACUGCAAGGCUGGAGUGCGGCAGAGGGGGAUGGAAUUCCGCGUGUAGCAGUGAAAUGCGUAGAUAUGCGGAGGAACACCGAUGGCGAAGGCAAUCCCCUGGGCCUGCACUGGACGCUCAUGCACGAAAGCGU